rnacentral:rRNA from 1 species
ACAAAAGAGACAAGUAUAUAUCAAGGCCUACUUAAAAUAAGCGCCUUAAUAACUAAUAGAUGACAUAAUCUUAAUCUACAAAUAUAUAUAUAUACUAAUCCAACCCAAAAACAGGGUUC